UUAUCGAAUCGUAGGCGAGGGUUGUCGCUGCCUUCUAAAGGGCAUGUGCACGCCCGAGCCCUUGAAUCCCAAACACCACAUGUGAACCCACCGUAGGCCUUCGGGCCUAUGUCUUAUCAUAUAAUCUGAAUGUCUAAUAGAAUGUAAACCCAUUUCGUUGCCUUGAAAACGUAACGAAAGAAAACUAUACAACUUUCAACAACGGAUCUCUUGGCUCUCGCAUCGAUGAAGAACGCAGCGAAAUGCGAUAAGUAAUGUGAAUUGCAGAUUUUCAGUGAAUCAUCGAAUCUUUGAACGCACCUUGCGCCCCUUGGUAUUCCGAGGGGCAUGCCUGUUUGAGUGUCAUUAAAUCCUCAACCCCUCCGAUUCGUUUCGGUGGGGAUUGUACUUGGAGCGUGCUGGCGAAGGUCGGCUCCUCUUUAAAUGCAUCAGCGGAGAAAAUGCCUUUUGCGCCUCUGGCCGUUCAGCGUGAUAAUGAUGUUGCGCUGCGGUCGAGCUUAAGGUCCGCUUCCAAAGGUCCUCGGACAAAUAUACAUAUGACUUUUGACCUCAAAUCAGGUAGGACUACCCGCUGAACUUAAGCAUAUCAUA
rnacentral:rRNA from 1 species